CAAGACUGAAACUCAAAGGAAUUGACGGGGGCCCGCCCAAGCGGUGGAGCAUGUGGUUUAAUUGGAAGCAACGCGAAGAACCUUACCAGGUCUUGACAUCUUUUGACAAUCCUAGAGAUAGGACGUCCCCUUCGGGGGCAGAGUGACAGGUGGUGCAUGGUUGUCGUCAGCUCGUGUCGUGAGAUGUUGGGUUAAGUCCCGCAACGAGCGCAACCCUUGAUCUUAGUUGCCAGCAUUCAGUUGGGCACUUUAAGGUGACUGCCGGUGACAAACCGGAGGAAGGUGGGGAGGACGUCAAAUCAUCAUGCCCCUUAUGACCUGGGCUACACACGUGCUACAAUGGGCAGAACAAAGGGCAGCGAAACCGCGAGGUUAAGCCAAUCCCACAAAUCUGUUCUCAGUUCGGAUCGCAGUCUGCAACUCGACUGCGUGAAGCUGGAAUCGCUAGUAAUCGCGGAUCAGCAUGCCGCGGUGAAUACGUUCCCGGGCCUUGUACACCCCGCCCGUCACCCCACGAGAGUUUGUAACACCCGAAGUCGGUGAGGU
rnacentral:rRNA from 1 species